rnacentral:rRNA from 1 species
AUUGAACGCUGGCGGCAGGCCUAACACAUGCAAGUCGAGCGGAGCGGCGGACGGGUGAGUAAUGCCUAGGCAUCUGCCUUGUAGUGGGGGAUAACGUCCGGAAACGGGCGCUAAUCCCGCAUCCUAUCAGAUGAGCCUAGGUCUGAUUAUCUAGUUGGGGGGGUAAAGGCCUACAAAGGCGACGAUCCGUACCGGGUCUGAGAGGAUGAUCAGUCACACGGGAACGGAGACACGGUCCAGAGUCCGACGGGAGGCAGAAGUGGGGAAUAUUGGACAAUGGGCGAAAGCUGGAUCCAGCCAGGCGGCGUGUGUGAAGAAGGUCUUCGGAUUGUAAAGCCCUUUAAGUUGGGAGGCGUUACCAACAGAAUAAGCACCGGCUAACUACGUGCCAGCAGCCGCGGUAAUAC